UACGUAGGGGGCAAGCGUUAUCCGGAUUUACUGGGUGUAAAGGGAGCGUAGACGGUGGUGUAAGUCAGAUGUGAAAACCCAGGGCUCAACCCUGGGACUGCAUUUGAAACUAUGCCACUAGAGUGCAGGAGAGGUAAGUGGAAUUCCUAGUGUAGCGGUGAAAUGCGUAGAUAUUAGGAGGAACACCAGUGGCGAAGGCGGCUUACUGGACUGUAACUGACGUUGAGGCUCGAAAGCGUGGGGAGCAAACAGG
rnacentral:rRNA from 1 species